rnacentral:rRNA from 1 species
UACGAAGGGGGCUAGCGUUGUUCGGAUUUACUGGGCGUAAAGCGCACGUAGGCGGAUCGAUCAGUCAGGGGUGAAAUCCCAGAGCUCAACUCUGGAACUGCCUUUGAUACUGUCGAUCUGGAAUAUGGAAGAGGUGAGUGGAAUUCCGAGUGUAGAGGUGAAAUUCGUAGAUAUUCGGAGGAACACCAGUGGCGAAGGCGGCUCACUGGUCCAUUACUGACGCUGAGGUGCGAAAGCGUGGGGAGCAAACAGG